GAUGAACGCUGGCGGCGUGCCUAACACAUGCAAGUCGAACGCUCGCAAGAGAGUGGCGCACGGGUGAGUAACACGUAGCUAAUCUGCCCUCAAGACAAGGAUAACUGUAGGAAACUACUGCUAAUACUUGAUAAGCUUACGGACUGUAGAGGUCUAUAAGAAAGAUUUAUCGCUUGAGGAUGAGGCUGCGCGCCAUCAGCUAGUUGGUAAGGUAAUGGCUUACCAAGGCGACGACGGCUAGGGGACCUGAGAGGGUGACCCCCCACACUGGGACUGAGACACGGCCCAGACUCCUACGGGAGGCAGCAGUGAGGAAUAUUGCUCAAUGGGCGCAAGCCUGAAGCAGCGACGCCGCGUGGAUGAAGAAGGUUUUCGGACUGUAAAAUCCUUUUCUGUGUGACGAGAGUGGACGGUAGCACAGGAAUAAGUCUCGGCUAACUACGUGCCAGCAGCCGCGGU
rnacentral:rRNA from 1 species